GACUGCCUUUUAGAGGUGUCUAGGCAAUGGUCGGUUGGUCGUGUUGUUGCUGCUGCUGCUGCUGCUGUUGGCGCAGUUGUUAGCUGCUGGUCGACUGGCUAGCUGUUAUUACUGCGAAUGUUUAUGUUCUACCGUUCUACCUCUUCGUUUUCGCGCUUAGCAAAAUAACAUAUAAAAGUGACGUUUAUUUUCACAAUGAAAAUCCAACAGUAGCAGGCAGCAGCAACAACAACAACAGCAAUAAUAAGAAAAUUGUUGUGUUUACAAAUUGUUAUGAGAGCCCUUUCCACUGUUUAACGAUUGCUGUGACGGCAAAACGGCGGCAAUGGCCUUUGUUUUGGCGGUGACUAUUACGACGGCUACUACUACAAUACACCAUGCCGAUGAUGAUGAUGAUAUCGAUGUUCUAGAGUGUGUGCGCGUUUUUUGGAGUUCUCUUUUUUUUUUGCGGCCCCCAGUUAACAUGCAAACGCCGCAAUGCCAUUCAUUCGCUGGCUAUCGUUCUGAAAGUAAUCAUCAGCAGAGUCUAUAUCGUCGUUCAUCGUUCAAAUUAGUCGUGUAGCCAGCCAGUAACAAAAAAAUCUAUUUGCUGAAGGGUACUCAUAUGAGAGCGAAAGUUUGAAGAUUGUACACCUCCUUUAUUUGAAUGAGUCGGUCGAAUUGGCAUUUGGAGAUAUUUGGAGAUACCAAAUAUUACUUCUUUACAGUUUAUGUUAUGACUGGAUGAAAUAUAACUCUUCUAAACCGAUAUCAAUUAAUUAUGUCGAAGGUA